rnacentral:tRNA from 3 species
GGGGCCAUAGCUCAGCUGGCUAGAGCACCUGCUUUGCAAGCAGGGGGUCCAGGGUUCGAAUCCCUGUGGCUCCACCA